AUCCUUUUCUGUUUUAUAAGCAUCAUGAUUGGCCAUUCACACGUCUUGUGAGAUGUGCCUCCCAUAAAUCUUAUUACACAUUUAGCAUAUUACUCAUUUGACA